UACGUAGGGGGCGAGCGUUGUCCGGAUUCAUUGGGCGUAAAGGGUGCGUAGGCGGUCGUGCAAGUCGGAUGUGAAAUCUCAGGGCUCAACCCUGAAACUGCAUUCGAUACUGCGCGGCUAGAGUGCUGGAGGGGAGACUGGAAUUUACGGUGUAGCAGUGAAAUGCGUAGAUAUCGUAAGGAAGACCAGUGGCGAAGGCGAGUCUCUGGACAGCAACUGACGCUGAGGAGCGAAAGCGUGGGGAGCGAACAGG
rnacentral:rRNA from 1 species